rnacentral:sRNA from 1 species
GGCUCCUCAAGGGUGGUCUACGGCUCACUCCCUGUAAGAAAGGGGGUGAAGCUUAUGACAGUAUUCGAAGCAUUGAUGUUGAUGAUUGCAUUCGGCACACUAAUUGUAGCUAUACUGUCGUUUAGCCAAAAGAAAUAGGCCCCCUUGAGUUUGGAAGACCAGGGGACCUAUCUCUUGCUUUAUCCAUCGUAUGAGCCACGCCCUUGUUAGGGACGUCUAUUGUGCAUGACCGUUUGGUGUUGGUAGCACC